CCCUUAGAUGUUCUGGGCCGCACGCGCGCUACACUGAUGCAUUCAACGAGUCUAAAACCUGGUCUGAUAGGGCUGGGUAAUCUUUUGAAAGUGCAUCGUGAUUGGGAUAGAUGAUUGCAAUUCUUCAUCUUCAACGAGGAAUGCCUAGUAAACGCAAGUCAUCAGCUUGCAUUGAUUACGUCCCUGCCCAUUGUACACACCGCCCGUCGCUCCUACCGAUUGAAUGAUCCGAUGAAUACCAUGGAUUGAGAGUACGAAUGGGUUCGCUCAUUUCUGCUGCUCGAGAAGUGGAGUAAAUCUUAUCAUUUAGAGGAAGGAGAAGUCGUAACA
rnacentral:rRNA from 1 species